AUCCCUUCCCGAACUCAGAAGUGAAACCUCUUAGCGCUGAUGGUAGUGUGGGAUUACCCAUGUGAGAGUAAGUCAUCGCCAG
rnacentral:rRNA from 1 species